rnacentral:tRNA from 1 species
GAGGGUAUAGCUCAGCGGUAGAGUGCCUGCCUAGCAUGCACAAGGUCCUGGGUUCAAUCCCCAGUAUCUACA